AGUGAACGCUGGCGGUAGGCCUAACACAUGCAAGUCGAACGGCAGCACAGUAAGAGCUCGCUCUUACGGGUGGCGAGUGGCGGACGGGUGAGGAAUACAUCGGAAUCUACUUUUUCGUGGGGGAUAACGUAGGGAAACUUACGCUAAUACCGCAUACGACCUACGGGUGAAAGCAGGGGAUCUUCGGACCUUGCGCGAUUGAAUGAGCCGAUGUCGGAUUAGCUAGUUGGCGGGGUAAAGGCCCACCAAGGCGACGAUCCGUAGCUGGUCUGAGAGGAUGAUCAGCCACACUGGAACUGAGACACGGUCCAGACUCCUACGGGAGGCAGCAGUGGGGAAUAUUGGACAAUGGGCGCAAGCCUGAUCCAGCCAUACCGCGAGGGUGAAGAAGGCCUUCGGGUUGUAAAGCCCUUUUGUUGGGAAAGAAAAGCAGCAGGUUAAUACCCCGCUGUUCUGACGGUACCCAAAGAAUAAGCACCGGCUAACUUCGUG
rnacentral:rRNA from 1 species